UACGUAGGGAGCAAGCGUUGUCCGGAAUCAUUGGGCGUAAAGCGCGCGUAGGCGGCCCUGUAAGUCCGUUGUGAAAGUCAAAAGGCUCAACCUUUGAAAGCCGAUGGAUACUGCAGGGCUGGAGUCCGGAAGAGGCGAGUGGAAUUCCUGGUGUAGCGGUGGAAUGCGCAGAUAUCAGGAGGAACACCAAUAGCGAAGGCAGCUCGCUGGGACGGUACUGACGCUGAGGCGCGAAAGCGUGGGGAGCGAACAGG
rnacentral:rRNA from 1 species